AGUUUUAUGACUUGUAUGGAAGUCGCGAGCGUAGAACGAGGCUAGCUGUUGAGCACAUGUUACCAGCUGUAGUUCACGGUGGUUUGACGACUGUAUUAAGUGUAGCGACUUUAGCUGUUAGUGAUUUUGACUUUAUUGUUAGGUGAGUAUCUUGCUAUUAUUUUUUUUUCUUACUUUCUCUCCUUCUUCAUUGUGGUCUCCAAAUCAUGUCUGUUCAACCUGGCACGAUUCAUGGACAGUGAAAAAGUCUCAUAAAAAAAGAAACUGAUAAAAGCUGCAGCUUUUAUUAAUUUGCUGAGCAAGGAAAUGAGAGGAUAAUGUUCAAAGAGGGCUCUCCAAUUAUAAUUUUAAAUAAACAUCAGUUCAUCUAGGAAAUAGGGCAGACUGUAGUGUCACUCAUCUCUAACCGGACCAUGUGUCAACUUUCUCGUUAAUUAUGUAUAAGUAUAAACUCUUGUACACCCGACUCAUGCCAGAGCCCCUAUUACUGGCUGUAUGUACCAAUAACAAAUUAUUUAUUUAGUUACGUUUCGAAGAUGUUCACACUGUUUGCAAGCAACUGACGCAUUUUACUUUGAUCUGCAUUUCAUUAUCAGCAUAAUAGAAUCUCUGAAAUGAUAUUUCUCGUGCAUCGUUCUCCUUUUCUAAAUGUUUGUUCUAUUUCUGUUUUUAGGUAUAUUUUUCUUUCUGUAAUUGCUUUUAGUUGGUAUUGGACUAGUCAAUGGCUUAGUAUUCUUCCCAGUGCUGUUAUCUUUAAUGGGACCACCAGCAGAGGUCAUUCCUCUGGAGCAUCCCGAUAGGGAUGUCAACACCUUCACCAGAGCCUGUGAAGAAAUUAGGCACGUCAAGUGUCGGACUGCUCCGCCCGCCGAGGAGGCACUCCUCAAGGGAACACAAAGAGCAGCCGCAAAAUACGAUGAAAGAACCCUCAUUGACCACGAUCACAGAGGAACCUGGCUCGUGGCAUUCACAAACGCAUGAGACCAUUUUCGUGCAACCAGAAGUGGUUGUUGAAAUAACAACGUGCACCCAUCAUCAUGUUGUAACGAAAGUCAAUGGUGUGGGAGAAACAAACAGUGACCUCGACUACAAACACGACAACAAGCUGAGGUAG
rnacentral:lncRNA from 1 species